UACGAAGGGUGCAAGCGUUAAUCGGAAUUACUGGGCGUAAAGUGUGCGCAGGCGGCCGCGCAAGUCGAGUGUGAAAGCCCCGGGCUCAACCUGGGAAUUGCAUUCGAGACUGCAUGGCUAGGAUGCGGAAGAGGGAAGCGGAAUUUCCGGUGGAUAGCGGUGUAAAGUGCGUAGAGUAUCUGGAGGAACACCGGUGGCGAAGGCGGCGAUCCUGGACCGGCAUUGACGCGUGAGGCGCGAAAG
rnacentral:rRNA from 1 species